rnacentral:tRNA from 1 species
GGGCCUGUGGCUCAAGGAGUAGGGCACUGGCCCUAUAUACCAGCGGUGGUGGGUUCAAACCCCACCCUGGCCA